GAGAAGCUGAAUGUGGACCACAGUGGAGAGUGCAGGACCAGACCAGGCUUACAGAAAUACUCCUGCCAGCUGACACUGGACCCCAACGCAGCAAACAGAUUCCUGUCUCUGUCAGAGGGGAACAGGAAGGUGACACGGGGGGCAGAGCAGCCAUAUCCUGAUCAUCCAAAGAGAUUUGACCGCAGCCCCCAAGUUCUGUGCAGAGAGAGUCUGACUGGCCGCUGUUACUGGGAGGCUGAGUGGGAUGGAGAUGAAGCCCGGAUAGGAGUGACUUAUAAAGGAAUCAGGAGGAAAGGAGAUGGUGAUGACUGUGUGCUUGGAGCCAAUGACAAGUCAUGGAUUUUGUGCUGUUAUCCUGACAGCUACUCUGUCUGGCACAAUAAUAAACAGACUAUCAUACCCAUAUGGCCCUCAGGCCCCUACAGAGUAGGAGUGUAUCUGGACUGGGGGGCUGGUGCUCUGUCCUUCUUCAGCAUCUCCUAUGAUGGACUGACCCUCCUGCACAGAUUCACCUCCUCAUUCACUGAGCCCCUUUAUGCAGGGUUUUUUGUUUACAAAAACUCCUCAGUGUCGCUGUGACAUGUUUCUGAUUCUCCUAGCAAAAAUGUAAAAUCUCUGCUUUUUAAUCUUUAUAAUCCUUUUUACUCUGAAAUGUAUGAUUGACAAAAAUAAAUGCCUGUGUUCAGUGAGUUGAAUAAACAUGAAAAAUAA